GACGAACGCUGGCGGCGUGCCUAAUACAUGCAAGUCGAGCGCAGGAAACUGACGGAACUCUUCGGAGGGAAGGCGGUGGAAUGAGCGGCGGACGGGUGAGUAACACGUAAGGAACCUGCCUCAAGGAUUGGGAUAACUCCGAGAAAUCGGAGCUAAUACCGGAUAGUUCGACGGACCGCAUGGUCCGCUGAUGAAAGGCGCUCCGGCGUCACCUUGAGAUGGCCUUGCGGUGCAUUAGCUAGUUGGUGGGGUAACGGCCCACCAAGGCGGCGAUGCCUAGCCGACCUGAGAGGGUGAUCGGCCACACUGGGACUGAGACACGGCCCAGACUCCUACGGGAGGCAGCAGUAGGGAAUCUUCCACAAUGGACGAAAGUCUGAUGGAGCAACGCCGCGUGAGUGAUGAAGGUUUUCGGAUCGUAAAACUCUGUUGUAAGGGAAGAACACGUACGAGAGGAAAUGCUCGUACCUUGACGGUACCUUACGAGAAAGCCACGGCUAACUACGUGCCAACAGCCGCCGCAGUAA
rnacentral:rRNA from 1 species